UGCACGGUAUAAAAUCAAAUAUUUUAAAAUAUUUUGUAAACGACUACAGUUAUGACUACGGUUAUUAUGAAACAAUAAUAGCACGUUUAAUACUCUUUCAAACGACACCUCACACGAACCGAUCGGUCCCAUAGGACUCAAGAUGUGAACAAAUAUCAAUAAUGGGGGGGGGGGAACACAUUUUACCACUUUGGAAGUGUCUCUCGCGCAAACUAUUCAGUUUAGAAAAAAUGAUAUUAGAAACCUCAAUAUCAUUUUUGAAGACCUAUCCAUAGUUA